GUGAAUCAUCAAAUUUUUGAACGCAAAUUGCACUCUCCGGUUUUCCGGGAGAGUAUGCCUGUUUGAGGGUCAGCCUAAAAAAAAUCGCCAUUGUUGCGUUUAUUUAAUGGUGACUUUGUUCGGAGAUUGGUUUAUCUUAACCCUUUUUUUUUUUUUUGGUUUAACCGACUUAAAAUUUUUUUUCCCGAUUCCAUGAAGUUUUCUAAGUUUUUUAUUUUUUAUC
rnacentral:misc_RNA from 1 species